rnacentral:rRNA from 1 species
CUCAAAUUUGAAAUCUGGCCCUUGGGUCCGAAUUGUAAUUUGUAGAGGAUGUUUUUGGUGCGGUAUCUUCCGAGUUCCUUGGAACAGGACGCCUUAGAGGGUGAGAGCCCCGUACGGUUGAAUGCCUAGCCUUUGUAAAACUCCUUCGACGAGUCGAGUAGUUUGGGAAUGCUGCUCUAAAUGGGAGGUAAAUUUCUUCUAAAGCUAAAUACCGGCCAGAGACCGAUAGCGCACAAGUAGAGUGAUCGAAAGAUGAAAAGCACUUUGAAAAGAGGGUUAAAUAGCACGUGAAAUUGUUGAAAGGGAAGGAUUUAUGACCAGACUUUUCCUAGGCGAAUCAUCCGGUGUUCUCACCGGUGCACUUCGUUUAGUUUAGGCCAGCAUCGAUUUUCGGGGCGGGAUAAAAGCUUUAGGAAUGUGGCUCCCUCGGGAGUGUUAUAGCCUAUUGUAUAAUACCGCCCUGGGGAUCGAGGUACGCGCUUCUGCAAGGAUGCUGGCGUAAUGGUUAUCAAUCACCCGUCUUGAAACACGGACCAAGGAGUCGAACAUUUGUGCAAGUGUUUGGGUGUUAAACCCUCACGCGUAAUGAAAGUGAACGGAGGUGAGAGCCCUUUCGGGGGUGCAUCAUCGACCGAUCCUGAUGUCUUCGGAUGGAUUUGAGUAAGAGCAUAAAUGUUCGGACCCGAAAGAUGGUGAACUAUGCGUGGAUAGGGUGAAGCCAGAGGAAACUCUGGUGGAGGCUCGCAGCGGUUCUGACGUGCAAAUCGAUCGUCAAAUCUGCGCAUGGGGGCGAAAGACUAAU